rnacentral:lncRNA from 13 species
AUGUUCCUCACUCUGGAUGUUGCAGGAACAAAGGGUGCAGGAUGCUCAGAAAAGGCUUGGUGCUCACCCGGGGUGACCCCAGCCCACAAGAAGCCCUGUGGGGACACAACUGUCCUCACAUCAUUGUUACCCUGCAGAGACCUGGCUGCAUUCCCAGGACACCCAUUGCGGGCUCCCAUUCCCUUGGGACCCCCCACCGGAGCUGAGCAGCGAGCGCCCUGCAAGGGGAGGAAGAGAAGGGUGGCCCACAGACACAUGAAGCCACUGCUGAAGUCUCAUUUCCUGAGAAACCAGGCUAAAAAUAAUCCCCUUUUCUUGCAGUCCUGUGCUCGUUCAGCCCAGUUCAGCCCAGUUCAGUCCCGUCCGGCGGGUGCUGCUGGCUCCAGUCCCUGCUUUCGUGCCGCCGGGCGCGGAGGCGCUCGCAGGGCUGCGGUUGAGUCACCCCGGGCACAGCACCGAGCCAGGGGUGGGGAGCGGGGGCACCGCGCACCCUCGAGGGUCCCGUGGGGUGCUGGAGGGCGACGAGCCACCGAGACCCCUCACCUGGACAGGUGGUGGCUCUGUUCCGGGGUGGGGGGACCCCCCCGUGUGCCGGCAGUAAACAGGAUACGAGCGGCUGCGGCGGGGAGACAGCGGCAGCAUCACCCCAGCCCCGCAGGAUGA